rnacentral:rRNA from 1 species
AUUGAACGCUGGCGGCAGGCCUAACACAUGCAAGUCGAACGAGUGGCGGACGGGUGAGUAAUGUCUGGGAAACUGCCUGAUGGAGGGGGAUAACUACUGGAAACGGUAGCUAAUACCGCAUACCCUCAGAUGUGCCCAGAUGGGAUUAGCUUGUUGGUGGGGUAACGGCUCACCAAGGCGACGAUCCCUAGCUGGUCUGAGAGGAUGACCGGCAACACGGGAACGGAGCAACGGGCCAGACUCCUACGGGAGGCAGCAGUGGGGAAUAUUGGACAAUGGGCGAAAGCCUGAUGCAGCCAUGCCGCGGGUAUGAAGAAGGCCUUCGGUUGGUAAAGUACUUUAAGCGGGGAGGCGUUACCCGCAGAAGAAGCACCGGCUAACUCCGUGCCAGCCGCCGCGGUAAUAC